CUUUCUCCGCCGGCGACCGGCGCACGGGUGAGUAACACGUAUGCAACCUCGCCCCUGUCAGGGGGACAACCCGCCGAAAGGCGGGCUAAACCCGCGUACAUGCCACCGGGGCAUCCCGGAGGCAGGAAAGGCUUCGGCCGGACAGGGAUGGGCAUGCGGCGCAUUAGGCAGUAGGCGGGGUAACGGCCCACCUAACCGACGAUGCGUAGGGGUUCUGAGAGGAAGGUCCCCCACACUGGUACUGAGACACGGACCAGACUCCUACGGAAGGCAGCAG
rnacentral:rRNA from 1 species